GUGAGUACACAUGAAUAAGCACAUGUCUAAGUUCAUGUGUGUAUGUAUGUACACCUGUAUUAUGUAUGUGUAUGUCUAUGUCAUUACCUGCAUUUCACUUUUGUUUAAACUUACUUACACUUCUGUCCCAACACCCCUAGCUAAUACAACUAAUUUUUCAGACCUAGCUUAUUCUCAAAUGGGCAUUGAAUACUUUUCAUCCUCUGGACUUUGACAUUCUUCUCAGCAAGGAGGUUACUCUUUUUCUCUGUAUAUUUCAUACCUACUGCAGGUCUAGCCUGUAACAGUAGGUGUUUAGUAUAUUCAGGAAUAAUUCACACUUCUAAUUCCAUUGUUAUUAACAAAGAACUAUGCCUUAGAACCAACAUUUUUCUCUAGCUAGAAUUAUUUCUCUCUUGUUAGGGUUCCACGUCUUGGUACUCAUUUUGAUCAUUUUUCUUCUGCAAAUGGGUAAUCCAAGAGUAGGCUCCUGGCCUGAGCAUCAUUGAGAUGACAUUUACCCCUCCUGUGCUAGUCUAGAACAGAUUCUGUGGGGCCAGCAGUUAAUGAAGAGUCGGUUUUUCUUCCUGGAUGGAAUUGGAGACCACUAUUCUAAGUGAAGUAACUCAGGAAUGGAAAACCAAACAUCGUAUGUUCUUACUUAUAUGUGGGAGCUAAGCUAUGAGGAUGCAAAGGCGUAAGAAUGAUACAAUGGACUUUGGGGACUCAGAGGAAAAUGCGGGAGGGGGACAAGGGAUACAAGACAACAUAUUGGGUGCAGCGUGCACUGCUUGGGUGACGGGUGACCAAAAUCUCAGAAAUCACCACUAAAGAACUUACUCAUGUAGCCAAACACCACCUGUUCCCAAAAACCUAUUGCAAUAAAAAAUGCAUUAGAAAGAAAACAGAUUUAAAGCCAAGAAUUGAAAUACAUAAUGUAUGUUCAGUAGUACCAUCCUCUCCAUUUUUAACAACCACCAGCACACCGGUGCACUUGGAACCACGUAAGGUGUGUUUCUGUAGGUAGGUGGGUUUAGCUUUGGUUUCCUUGGCGUUUUGCGGGAGGCAGCAGUGAGGGAGGAGGAUACUCGGUUCGUUUUGUUGAAUUGGAGAGACCACCACAUUCCCAGGAAUUACUGGGAGGAGUUCUUCUGGGAGAGUUCGGGGUGGAGCUUGGCGCUGUCACCGGGCACCUCCUGUCCCCGCACAGGUCUCGAGCUGGACACCGGGUGCCCCCGCCCCGCGUCACCCCUGCACCUCCCCAGCGGGCAGCCGCGAAUGGGCGUGGGGUCUGGAGGGACGUCAGGGCUUAGACCCUUCCCUGUGUUUUGCCGGGGACCUGGUGGUUCCUGGGUCAGACUGAGCUUGGCCUCCGCGCUCCACCUGAGCGCACAAGAGGGGAAGCGUCUAGACCACGGCGGAGGGCCCGCAGGAAGUCAGGCUCUCCCGGGUCGGCCCCGACAUUCCCUGUGCCCUACCCGGCAGGCCACGUCCUGGUCAGGGGACAACCGAGGCUGUGCGGCUGGCGUCACCCAGGAUCUCUGAGAAAAAAAAGGGAGUUUCUCAUCAUUAAUUUGUAUGGAAGGUCCUCAUAAGAAAAUGGUGAAGCCGGGUAAGGAGUGAUGGAAAGAAAGUUGGGAGUGGCUGAUGCUGCCUGGAAGUUUUGGGUUGAGGAUUCACAUAGGCCGUGGGCAGAGGCAGGUUCAGGCCCUCCCACUCCCACUGCUGAAGGACAGAUAACCCCCAGGGGGACUCCCAAGGCACAGGAGCCAUGGCUGGAGUCAGGCACCGACCUCCUUGGAAGCUGGGUAACUGCAGUCUUGCUCUCUUCCCCAGGGCCUCCGUCCAACUUUUGGGCAUUUGGCUUUUGUUGGUCUUUGUUUUGUGGCCGCCCAGAUGGCUGGAGAGGCCCAGCAGGAGCCUUUUGUAGACUCAGCACAAGGGACAAGCUGGAGGACACUCAGCAUUAGGAUUUCCUCCCUCAAAUGUCAAGGAACCGCAGCAGGGCUGGGCCGUAUUUCAGGGAUCUAAAUUGGAGUUUGGGGACCACACAGCUUGAGGCCUGCUAGCAUGAGUGAUGACUUAACGGGGCCCUCAGAUCACGCCAUCCUUUAUGGUGCAAUUAAAAACCACUUUGCCAUGAGGAAUGAAAAAGACCCACUUGGCCACCACAGGCCUCGGCUUCCUCAUCCAGACACACCCCUGGGCUUGUGUGAGGAAAUUUGAGCAAGGCAGAGCCCUGCUCACAUCAGGAACGGGAGCUCACCCCAAACCCUUUAACAAAUGCCCCCCUUUCUUUUUUUUUCUUUUUCUUUUUUUUUUUUUUUUUGAGAUGGAGUCUUUCUGUUGCCCAGGCUGGAGUGCAGUGGUGCGAUCUCAGCUCACUGCAACCUCCACCUCCUGGGUUCAAGCAGUUCUCUGCCUCAGCCUCCCGAGUAGCUGAGAUUACAGGUGACUGCCACCAUGCCCAGC
rnacentral:lncRNA from 10 species